rnacentral:rRNA from 1 species
UACGGGGGGGGCAAGCGUUGUUCGGAAUUACUGGGCGUAAAGGGCUCGUAGGCGGCCAACUAAGUCAGACGUGAAAUCCCUCGGCUUAACCGGGGAACUGCGUCUGAUACUGGAUGGCUAGAGGUUGGGAGAGGGAUGCGGAAUUCCAGGUGUAGCGGUGAAAUGCGUAGAUAUCUGGAGGAACACCGGUGGCGAAGGCGGCAUCCUGGACCAAUUCUGACGCUCAUGUGCGAAAGCGUGGGGAGCAAACAGG